UACGGAGGGGGCGAGCGUUAUUCGGAAUUAUUGGGCGUAAAGGGCGCGUAGGCGGCCAUGCGUGUCUUCCGUGAAAUCCCUCGGCUUAACUGAGGACGUGCGGAAGAAACUGCAAGGCUCGAGUCCGGGAGAGGAGGGUGGAAUUCCCAGUGUAGCGGUGAAAUGCGUAGAUAUUGGGAGGAACACCUGUGGCGAAAGCGGCGCACUGGACCACAACUGACGCUGAGGCGCGAAAGCUAGGGGAGCAAACAGG
rnacentral:rRNA from 1 species